GACGAACGCUGGCGGCGUGCUUAACACAUGCAAGUCGAACGGAAAGGCCCUGCUUUUGUGGGGUGCUCGAGUGGCGAACGGGUGAGUAACACGUGAGUAACCUGCCCUUGACUUUGGGAUAACUUCAGGAAACUGGGGCUACUACCGGAUAGGAGCUCCUGCUGCAUGGUGGGGGUUGGAAAGUUUCGGCGGUUGGGGGUGGACUCGCGGCUUAUCAGCUUGUUGGUGGGGUAGUGGCUUACCAAGGCUUUGACGGGUAGCCGGCCUGAGAGGGUGACCGGCCACAUUGGGACUGAGAGACGGCCCAGACGCCAACGGGAGGCAGCAGUGGGGAAUAUGACACAAUGGGCGGAAGCCUGAUGCAGCAACGCCGCGUGCGGGAUGACGGCCUUCGGGUUGUAAACCGCUUUCGCCUGUGACGAAGCGGGAGUGACGGUAAUGGGUAAAGAAGCACCGGCUAACUACGUG
rnacentral:rRNA from 1 species